rnacentral:rRNA from 1 species
UACGUAGGGUGCGAGCGUUUAUCGGAAUUACUGGGCGUAAAGCGUGCGCAGGCGGCUUUGCAAGACAGAUGUGAAAUCCCCGGGCUCAACCUGGGAACUGCAUUUGUGACUGCAAGGCUAGAGUACGGCAGAGGGGGAUGGAAUUCCGCGUGUAGCAGUGAAAUGCGUAGAUAUGCGGAGGAACACCAAUGGCGAAGGCAAUCCCCUGGGCGUGUACUGACGCUCAUGCACGAAAGCGUGGGGAGCAAACAGG